CGCAAAUUGCUCAUGGCUCCAAAAAGAAUGCUAAAUACCAGCCUGGGCUGUGCUAAUGCUGGUGGUGAGGGUGACUCACAAACUUCACAAUGAUGUUGUGAAACAUCCAUUCCAAUCCUGCCCAGAGCUUCCAGCCAUGAGAUGGAACCAUCAAACUCCACACACCUCAAUAAAACCCUGGCAAGGAACUUCUAAGGUCAACAACUCUUCAUUUGAGAGAUAUUCUCAGAGAGCAGUUUUCUCAGAGAUCCUCAAUUGUGGAAUUCGUUACCCUGACUGAGACAGAAUCUUGUCACAGAGUUGCUGACUGGUGGUAACUGGGCGUCUUCACAGCCCGACCAAAACGCACAUGAGAACCUGAACGGCUGUAAAGGGAGAUAAGGAGGCACAAAGACAUAAGGGAAAGAAGGAAAUUUGUGUUACUUCAGCACAAAUAUUUUUUCAAGGCAAGGCUGACAUUCUUAACUUUGGGAUUCAUG